rnacentral:rRNA from 1 species
GGCCUUGACAUACUCGGCAAAGCUCUAGAGAUAGAGUGGAGGUUAUCCGGGAUACAGGUGGUGCAUGGUUGUCGUCAGCUCGUGUCGUGAGAUGUUGGGUUAAGUCCCGCAACGAGCGCAACCCUUGUCUUUAGUUACCAUCAUUCAGUUGGGGACUCUAGAGAGACUGCCGGUGAUAAACCGGAGGAAGGUGGGGAUGACGUCAAAUCAUCAUGCCCCUUAUGGCCUGGGCUACAAACGUAAUACAAUGGCGUAUACAAAGGGAUGCGAAAGGGCGACCUGGAGCAAAACUCACAAAGUACGUCUCAGUUCAGAUUGGAGUCUGCAACUCGACUCCAUGAAGGCGGAAUCGCUAGUAAUCGCGGAUCAGCAUGCCGCGGUGAAUACGUUCUCGGGGUUU